UAAUUAAUUGCGAACCGUGUCUCGGGAGCGUUAGAGAUGGAGACUAACGUCUUCCAAGGGAGAUUGCGUCUUCACUUUCACCCUGGUACUGAGAGGCACAAAAUUGGAACGCAGUCGCGGGGUAUAUCCCCCUGAAAACCGUACGUUGCCAAAUAAUGAUUUCUUUGGAUUAGAGAACUACAACUCCCCUGGGUCCUGAGCCGGUAUUUCCCUCUUGCGGCUGCACCGUAGUUAAAAACAAAGCUACGUGUUCUGGGACGUAUAGUUCUAGCGUUCCUUGGGUCCCGCUGGCGAGCGUGGGCUUUCUGCAGCUGGCAACCGGCCUCGUGCUUUGCGGACGGUUCACUGCGCUUGGAAAGGGAUUGGCCUGGGGUACAUCAUCUAAAGAUCCUAGGAUUGCUGCAGGUCAGCAGUCUCCACUGGAAAAAAAGAUCUUGCAUGUAUUUCAAGUCCUCUGAUGAAUUAUGUGAUCUACUAGACCCUGAAGAUACAGUGAAGAGCAAAAGAACACGGAUGAAAUGAGAAACAAAAAUGAUGGAGAAAACCAAAAAAGGGGACACAUGGGAUCCAGGCAAUAGGAGAGCCAGCAUAAGAGAGAGGCAGAGGGAUGCCCAGGAUGAGGUGAAGACAAUCUUGGAAAUCAGCCCAGAUGUGCAUGCACCAGUCCACGUGUGGCAGGACCAAGGGAAGUGUCUUCACAAAGAUGAGGCUUUGAUUUGUUGGAGAAACUGUUACCAGAAAAACAGGUCCCGAUCCCGACCCCAAAAGAGUAUUCUUGGAUCUUGCACAGGAAGGAAUUAAAGGAAGUCAUAGUUUCUCAUAACCUUUGCUAGUGAUCCUGGACCUUGGUUGUUCCCUGAGGCUGUGUUCUCCACACUGCUGCCAUCAUGCUACAGCAGAGGUGCAGAAAGCUCAGGAGAGAGAAGGGAGGAAAAGCUGAAGAUUUUGUGUUAUUCAUGCUUUCCUGACUCCGGUGAAAGUGCUUCCUCCACCUGCAACCAUUUCUGUUUCUAUACUGCUGAGUCUUGUGUUCCCAAGACCAAGGGAAGCCCAUUUUCUUUAAAGCCAGUCACAGUUUCUGUUGGCUGAUGGAAUAUCUGUUGUCCAGCAGUUGUAUUCCUGCUCACAAAUGCAAAACAGUUUGAUGCCACGCACAUUCCAGGGCUUAGACUGGAAAUGCUGUCCCUUGCCCCUUUGUUACCUUCUGACAGGGAUCAGUCCAUAGUGUAGUUGGUGUCACAACAGUCCCAAAGAAGCCUUCCAAUAGAUACCCAAAUGUGAUUCAAAGCGGCACAGGCACACACCACGGUGCCACAUGGUGCCUAUGUAAAGCAGGUAUAUCAGGAAUGCUAAGCAGAGAAGUAGCAGAACACACUGAUCCCCAUGUUCUCAUUGUACAGUUGGGUGCAAUUAAGCUGGCACAAUGGACUCUUCUCAUGGCUACUGUUCCAGUAGUGUGGAUGCCCCCAAAUGCUGCAUAUUUACUAGGACAGCCAGGCAGAGACAGCUGUGUACUAUGAUACAACAGUAGUCCCUCUUAGAGGAAGUGACCUUGUUAGAAGUGGGAGUUUCUGAAGCUCUUCAGCUGUUACUGGCCUGCUCUUCCAUAGCGUUACUUCAGACCUGCUGGCCCAGCUAUCCACUCCACUAACAGGUCUGUCUCUGCUAACAGGUCUAGCUCUGUCUCCUCAGCACAUGUUCUAGGCUCUGACUGCAAGUGCUGACUUGGGCUCCCAGCCCCACACAGACCCUCUGUUCCAUGAAAGGGCCAUCUAUGCAAAGUGCCCCCCAAAUGCCAAAGGAGCCAAUAAACCAAGGAACAAGACAGACAAAUCUAGUUUGUCAGUAAAGAGUGUUUUAUUGGGGAACUUACAGACAGAAGCGUGGUCUUGGAUGGCAGCAAGACAGGUAGGUUUCUGCACUUAUUACCCCCACACCCAGGGCUUAUAUACCACAGGGAAAGAGUAUACAUGCUCUGUGCAAGACAAAGGCUACUACUUUCCAGAACAGGUAAGAAUGCUAAUGUGUCAUAGCCUAGAAUUUGUAUAACAUCAAGGUUGACAUGUUCUUACAAUAGGGAUGGUAAAUAAAGUAGGAAUCAGGAGUCAGUCCUGGGACUGGGGCUAAUCAGAAGUCAGCAAAGAGAAUUAGCAUCCAAGAGGGAGUCACUUUUCUCUCCACAUCCCAGCCCUCUAAUCCAGCUCUUACAAUCUCAUGGACUCACAUUUCCCCCAUAGUCCCUGAGCCUUCAGAGGGGGCUGUGGGUGACAUUUUGAUGGUGUGAGUGACACAUUUUAUCAAUUUGUUUUCUACUUGUUAAGCAGGGGCCACAGCAACAACACAAACAACAGGCGAUGAUAUGUAUGCCAGGUGUAAGACACAGAAUUAAAAAUGCCCUUUACCAUGUUUAUUCAGGAACCAAACCAAGAGAUAUAGAGCAGAACAGCAAUAGGAACAGAAGACUAUGGGUGGAAUUAAAAAUGUUUAAUAGGUAUUUGGUGGGGCAGUUCUUCCCCAUUAAACAGAAUGACUGGUAGCUCCAUCUCUGUUGAUUAGGAACAUAGGAUUGUGGGCUGGGAGUACACACCAAACAUGUUGCCUGAGGGGCAAAGGCGCUGGUAUUUUGUGUAAGGUUACAGGGGCAGCAAAGGACCAUGUCAAAUGGCCAGCCAGGGUGCUUCUUAAAAGGGGCUGUGUUCCAGUUUAUUGGUACGUGGAGUGUUUUGGCCCAGACUUCAGCAGGAUCAAUGGAGACCACUUUAGUUGGUAGGGUAUUCCUUGCUGUCUGGAAAGAAAUGCUCUAUCCAACAUAGGGGAAGUUGCUAGUCCAACCCCCAUUCAAGUGUCUCCUCCCUGGCUCAAGAUCUUGAGGAGUUCUAAAUAACCUUUGCCAUUGGCCUUUUAUCUGCUCAGGUCAGAGAUGCAUCUGGUUGGACUUUCUUUACUACUAUGGUUAAUGGAUCCAUCUCUGUGGUGGUCCUGAGUCAUUGGUGUGGUGCCAACACCAUAUUUGUCUCAACUAAAUUAAGGUUUCUAAUGGCUUGAGGCAAAAUCUUUGUCUAUGAAAGAUAUUGGAUUUUGAGAGUGCUCAAAACUGUGCCUUCAAAAUACCAUUUUUCCUUUCAAUCAACCCUGUUGCUUGGGGGAGUAUACAGUAAGUGAAAUACCCAAUCUAUGUCCCUUUCAUGCAUCCAGUCUUGGACACCAUGUCUGGUGAAAUGCAUGCCUCGAUUGCUAUCAAUAUGUGGAGGGUAUCCAUACAUGACACUGAGUUGCUCCAAGCCCCUGAUGGUGGCUGUUUGGUUUGCUCUUACAAGGGAAAGCUUGCAACAAUCCCAUGGCAGUGUAUACACAUGUUAGUGCAUACUUUCGUCUCAAGAUUACUGGCAGGGGUCUGAUGUAGUCUAUCUACCAGUCUGUCACAGGGGUGGCUGUCUUAUGUAUAUGUCCAGGUGUAUGUGGGAUGUGGCAGAGGUACAGACGGGAACAAAUUAAGCAGUUUGCUACCGCCACCACUAAAUCUGCAUAGCAGAGAGCCAAUCCUGCUCCCUUUGCUAUUUGGCAGCCCAUUCAUGCACUGAAAUCCCCACUGUGAUAUGUACCUAAUCAACUAGCUCAGUAUUCUAAUUUUUGCUAGGAUGUCUGCCUCCAUGUUUCUGGGAGGUGAAUCUGACCAGUGUGCUGAAGCAAUUAGGUCCACAGUGGGUUCCUGUAGACUUUUCCAAAUGUCUUUCCACAUAUCAGCUCCCCAUAAGGAUUUUUAAAUUAUAUACCAAUCAUCUCCGGCCCUUUGGGCAAGCCAAAUUGUAAGACCCUUAAGUACUGCCAGACUGUCUGUACAGAGAACUAUAGGUGGUGGCUCACGGGUACAAACCAACCAUGCAGCUUGGAGUUCUGCCCAUUGACUGCUCUGUUGCAUUCCCAUCUCAAACCAGAUACUGUCUGUGGUUGUGCAGCUACUACUGUCCAUACACAGGGUUACCUUGGCUCAAUGCAUCUAAGUACCAAGCAUUAUCAGGAAUGAGGGCCAUGCCUUCAUGUACCAUUGGAGACAUCUCCUGUGAGGGCUCCACAAUAGGGGCAGCACUGGACUCAUAAUGUACUGGCCCUAAGAUAGCAUGCAGUUCAUCUCGUAAGGGAUGCAUGGAGAAGGCACUAUGUUGUUGCAUGUAUGCAUGGCACUUUUGUAAAGUGGAAACUUGGGCAAUAGCUGAUACAGGCCUGGCAAACACUCCUACCCAGUCCUUGAUAGGAGACCUGUUCUCCCUGGUACCAGGAAAGCAGCAGUUAUCAAUUCAACUUGUGGCAAGACCUUCUAUAUCCCCAGGACCUGUUAUUCAACUGGGAAAUAGCAGGUUUCAGUACCCUUCCAUUAAUUGUGACUAAAAUUCUAAAGGAACUGCUUCCCUAUGCUGGACUUUAUAUUUUCAUCAUCCAAAAUUAUAGUUUAGUUUUACCUUUAAAAAUAUGUUUUUUGUUCUCAUUUGUUCCAUAGGUUUCUCCUUGAAAUUUAUAUUGUAUGGUAAGGUUUCCUAUUGUUUGCAUUUUGUGGAUUGCACGCCAAGGUGUGGUUUAAUGUAUUUCUAUUACCUGUAUUUUCUAUAAAUUGGUAGUUUGGUAUA